CGAUUUCAAAAAAAAAUCCCCAUUUUACAUUGGUUUCAAUGGCUUGAUAUAGCCCUAAUACAUUUUUUAUAUUAUUUGUUGUCUUUUCUCUGUUGUUGCGUGUCCUUGCAGGUGCUUUGAUGGGAGUGGUUGGUGGUGGUUGCGGCGGUGGCAGGGAGUUGGUGGGCAUGGCAGAGGCUAGGGCGGCAGCUAGGGUUAUGGAGGCUAGGUUUUUGGUUUUUUUCUUUUUUCUGAUUUGGUUUAGGGUGUUUUGGGCUAGGGUUUGGUUGGGUCUUGUUAUUGGGCUGAUUGUUUUGGUUUAAUUAUUUUGGGUUCUUAUUUUUGUUUGGGUUAAUUGGGCCUGGGCAAAUGGGCUGUACAUUUACAAACAGGAGUGUCGAGACAAUUUGCAAUGCCAACAACAGGCUUUACGUGCUCCAUUGCUAUGUCCCUGCAAUGCAAUCAUAUAAAACAGUAGCAGAGAAUGAAAAUCUGUGAAUGAAUUGGAUAUUUUAUGAAGUAUUGAUAUGUCAGUGUAAGCAUGAAAAGGAAAACAUGAAUGCAAGUUUCAAGCAACGGCGUUUAUUAGAUGGAGCUAUGGAUGGGUGGCAGACAGAAACAUGAUGAAAUUCUGGUCACCAGAAUUAAGCUCUCGAUGUAUAUAAAAUGCUAGAUUCAAGUGUGCAACAGUUCAUUACAGAGUAUUAAGAGUUAAAAUGUUCUUUCUGUAUUAAUUUCAAUCUAGAGUAGAUUAUGUCUGCUGAUCAACUUGUCUUAAAAUCUAAAACUGUUGAUAAUGAGUAGAGGAAAUCAUAGCUUCAGAUUUUAUUACCUGACUUAGUGGCUGAAAAGUGUUGAGAGAAUAGAACUGAAAAUGAAGCAGUGUCUUACAAAGCUAGCUGCUAUGAGUAGCAGACAAUCAGAAACAAUCAUCGUAAAGUCAUGAAUCAAGCAAAGAAAAGCAUGUGAUGGAUAAAGCAAAUGAAAGAAAAUUACCUGGAAAUUUGGUGAUAGACCUUGGAGAUCAAAACAAAAUCAUUGAAGUUGGCAAUAAAUAAUAUUUAAUAAAAAUAAGAGUUGGGACAGCAAGGUAUAAGAAUGUAUAAUUAUAUGUUACAACUUGAAAUUAAAUAUACAAGUAAAUGAGUUGUAUUAGUAAAUGAUUUGCAUUGUGAAGUUGUCAGUAUUAAAUUUUGGAUCCUAACUGUAG
rnacentral:lncRNA from 1 species